rnacentral:sRNA from 1 species
UGUUUGCCUAGUCGCUCUAUUAGUCGCCC